rnacentral:rRNA from 1 species
AUUGAACGCUGGCGGAAUGCUUUACACAUGCAAGUCGAACGGCAGCACGGGGGCAACCCUGGUGGCGAGUGGCGAACGGGUGAGUAAUACAUCGGAACGUGCCCAGUCGUGGGGGGAUAACGUAGCGAAAGCUACGCUAAUACCGCAUACGAUCUCUGGAUGAAAGCGGGGGACCGCAAGGCCUCGCGCGAUUGGAGCGGCCGAUGGCAGAUUAGGUAGUUGGUGGGGUAAAGGCUCACCAAGCCGACGAUCUGUAGCUGGUCUGAGAGGACGACCAGCCACACUGGGACUGAGACACGGCCCAGACUCCUACGGGAGGCAGCAGUGGGGAAUUUUGGACAAUGGGCGAAAGCCUGAUCCAGCCAUUCCGCGUGCAGGAUGAAGGCCCUCGGGUUGUAAACUGCUUUUGUACGGAACGAAACGGUCCUGGUUAAUACCUGGGGCUAAUGACGGUACCGUAAGAAUAAGCACCGGCUAACUACGUGCCAGCAGCCGCGGUAAU